GAUGAACGCUGGCGGCGUGCCUAACACAUGCAAGUCGAGCGGCAGCGCGAGUAGUUUACUACUUGGCGGCGAGCGGCGAACGGCUGAGUAACGCGUGGGAAUUUGCCCCAAAGUGAGGAAUAACUGCCCGAAAGGGUGGCUAAUGCCGCAUAUGAUCUUCGGAUUAAAGGAUUUAUCCGCUUUGGGAGAAGCCCGCGUCGGAUUAGGUAGUUGGUGAGGUAAUGGCUCACCAAGCCGACGAUCCGUAGCUGGUCUGAGAGGAUGACCAGCCAGACUGGAACUGAGACACGGUCCAGACUCCUACGGGAGGCAGCAGUGAGGAAUCUUCCACAAUGGGCGAAAGCCUGAUGGAGCAACGCCGCGUGCAGGAUGAAGGCCUUCGGGUUGUAAACUGCUUUUAUAAGUGAGGAAUAUGACGGUAGCUUA
rnacentral:rRNA from 1 species